rnacentral:rRNA from 1 species
GACGAACGCUGGCGGCGUGCUUAACACAUGCAAGUCGAACGGAAAGGCCCUGCUUUUGUGGGGUGCUCGAGUGGCGAACGGGUGAGUAACACGUGAGUAACCUGCCCUUGACUUUGGGAUAACUUCAGGAAACUGGGGCUAAUACCGGAUAGGAGCUCCUGCUGCAUGGUGGGGGUUGGAAAGUUUCGGCGGUUGGGGAUGGACUCGCGGCUUAUCAGCUUGUUGGUGGGGUAGUGGCUUACCAAGGCCUUGACGGGUAGCCGGCCUGAGAGGGUGACCGGCCACAUUGGGACUGAGAUACGGGCCGGACUCCUGCGGGAGACAGCAGUGGGGAAUAUUGCACAAUGGGCGGAAGCCUGAUGCAGCAACGCCGCGUGCGGGAUGACGGCCUUCGGGUUGUAAGCCGCUUUCGCCUGUGACGGAGCGUGAGUGACGGUAAUGGGUAAAGAAGCACCGGCUAACUACGUG